GAUGAACGCUGGCGGCGUGCCUAAUACAUGCAAGUCGAGCGAACAGACGAGGAGCUUGCUCCUCUGACGUUAGCGGCGGACGGGUGAGUAACACGUGGAUAACCUACCUAUAAGACUGGGAUAACUUCGGGAAACCGGAGCUAAUACCGGAUAAUAUAUUGAACCGCAUGGUUCAAUAGUGAAAGACGGUUUUGCUGUCACUUAUAGAUGGAUCCGCGCCGCAUUAGCUAGUUGGUAAGGUAACGGCUUACCAAGGCAACGAUGCGUAGCCGACCUGAGAGGGUGAUCGGCCACACUGGAACUGAGACACGGUCCAGACUCCUACGGGAGGCACCAGUAGGGAAUCUUCCGCAAUGGGCGAAAGCCUGACGGAGCAACGGCGCGUGAGUGAUGAAGGUCUUCGGAUCGUAAAACUCUGUUAUUAGGGAAGAACAAAUGUGUACGUAACUAUGCACGUCUUGACGGUACCUAAUCAGAAAGCCACGGCUAACUACGUG
rnacentral:rRNA from 1 species